UACGGAGGGUGCGAGCGUUGUCCGGAAUCAUUGGGCGUAAAGGGCGCGUAGGUGGCCCGGUCAGUUCGUGGUGAAAGCGCGGGGCUCAACCCUGCGUCGGCCAUGAAUACUGCCGCGGCUGGAGCACUGUAGAGGCAGGCGGAAUUCCGGGUGUAGCGGUGGAAUGCGUAGAGAUCCGGAAGGAACACCAGUGGCGAAAGCGGCUUCCUGGUCCAGCACCGACGUUCAGGCACGAAAGCGUGGGGAGCAAACAGG
rnacentral:rRNA from 1 species